UACAGAGGGUGCGAGCGUUAAUCGGAAUUACUGGGCGUAAAGCGCGUGUAGGCGGUCGUGCAAGUCGGGUGUGAAAGCCCUGGGCUCAACCCAGGAAGUGCAUUCGAUACUGCGCGACUGGAGUCCCGGAGAGGAUGGUGGAACUCUCGGUGUAGAGGUGAAAUUCGUAGAUAUCGAGAAGAACACCGGUGGCGAAGGCGGCCAACUGGACCAUUACUGACGCUGAGGCGCGAAAGCGUGGGGAGCAAACAGG
rnacentral:rRNA from 1 species